rnacentral:rRNA from 1 species
UACGAAGGGAGCUAGCGUUGUUCGGAAUCACUGGGCGUAAAGCGCACGUAGGCGGAUUUGUCAGUCAGGGGUGAAAUCCCGGGGCUCAACCUCGGAACUGCCUUUGAUACAGCAAGUCUUGAGUUCGAGAGAGGUGGGUGGAAUUCCUAGUGUAGAGGUGAAAUUCGUAGAUAUUAGGAAGAACACCGGUGGCGAAGGCGGCCCACUGGCUCGAUACUGACGCUGAGGUGCGAAAGCGUGGGGAGCAAACAAG